UACGUAGGGUGCAGGCGUUAAUCGGAAUUACUGGGCGUAAAGCGUGCGCAGGCGGUUUCUUAAGUCAGAUGUGAAAGCCCCGGGCUUAACCUGGGAACUGCGUUUGAAACUGUUAGGCUCGAGUCAGCUAGAGGUACACGGAACUUCCAGUGGAGCGGUGAAAUGUGUUGAUAUUGGAAGGAACACCGGAGGCGAAAGACGGUGUGAACUGGGGCCUGGUCUGACGCUGAGGCACGGAAAGCCAGGGGAGCGAA
rnacentral:rRNA from 1 species